rnacentral:rRNA from 1 species
GACAGAGGGUGCAAACGUUGCUCGGAAUUACUGGGCGUAAAGCGCGGGUAGGUGGAUUGGUGUGUCAGAUGUGAAAGCCCUGGGCUCAACCCAGGAACUGCACCUGAAACUACCAGUCUUGAGUGGUGGAGAGGGAAGUGGAAUUCCUGGUGUAGAGGUGAAAUUCGUAGAUAUCAGGAGGAACACCAGUGGCGAAGGCGGCUUCCUGGACACCAACUGACGCUGAGACGCGAAAGCGUGGGGAGCAAACAGG